UACAGAGGGUGCGAGCGUUAAUCGGAAUUACUGGGCGUAAAGCGCGCGUAGGCGGCUUUGCAAGUCGGGUGUGAAAUCCCCAGGCUUAACCUGGGAACUGCAUUCGAGACUGCAUUGCUAGAGUAUGGGAGAGGGAAGUGGAAUUUCCGGUGUAGCGGUGGAAUGCGUAGAUAUCUGGAGGAAUACCGGUGGCGAAGGCGGCAUCCUGGACCGACAUUGACGCUGAGGAGCGAAAGCUAGGGGAGCAAACGGG
rnacentral:rRNA from 1 species